rnacentral:rRNA from 1 species
GUCUAUGGCCAUGCUACCCUGAACAAGCCUGAUCCCUUCUGAUCUUGGAAGCUAAGCAGUGUCGGGCCUGGUUAGUACUUGGAUGGGAGACUACCUGGGAAGACCAGGUGCUGUAGGAG